CCUCUCUCAACCACACCCAUCUUCUUUACGCGUUUCUCCGGUGAACAUGGCUGGACUCCGGUGAAAUCCGUCGCUAGUCACGACACCAACAAUAUCACCCAUUUUUGCUACUUCUUUACAUGGUUUCUUUAUCGGAAUUGAUGGUCGGUGAUCUCUGACCAAAUCCACCAAUUAGCCGUCGUCGCUGCCUCGCCGGAUCUGACUAUUGGCAGUCGCGCCUCCUCCAACUACCACCGCACGGCUUUCUCUUCUUUUUCCUUUUCACUACCGCUGCUUCAGCAAAAGUGAUGUCCGGCGAAGCUCCAACGCAAACCACCACCACCCCCUCCCUUUCUAUAUCACUUUUCUUUAGUUUAUUGACUAGAUAAGAUUAGAUUUAGCCAGAAUAUUGAUACUCCAACGUUGCUCCGGUAAAGGCCAUGAAAGCAACACCACUCUCUUCAAUGAUUUAUGGUGUUGUCUCCGUUGAAUGAAUUUUUGAAAUUUUUUAUAUUUUUACGUUAUUGGAUAAAUCUGGUUGGAGCCUAUAUUUUUUGACAACUUUUUGGUUGUCUGGGCUUAUUCUCCAUAAAUUGUUUUCCUCUCGAAGACAAUAUGUUUAUUUUUGCAGUGUGUUGUUUUGUUGAUUCAACAUUGUUACUGGUGUGAUGUUUAGUCCCUUUCACUCGCUUAUUGCCCCUUUAUUUUGCUACUGGUGACUAUUGUUUUCUGUUGUUAAGCAGUUACAGAAUCGGUGAUGCUGUUCUACUAUCGUUUUGAUUUUUGACAAUCUUUUGUUAUUUGAAUUUAUUCACUAUUGGUUUUAUUUUGUGGUUAUUUUGGGAACUUUUUUAUUUUGGCUUAUAACAUUAUCCCUCCGUCGGAUAUUUGAGUCAUCUCAUUACAAAAGAUGAAUUUUAUUUUCUCUAAUUUACUAUUUUAUAUCAAAGAUCAACACUUGACCAAUGAAGAAAUUUUUCGUUGAUUUUCAAGGCCUUUCAAAAUAAAAGACGAACAUUACGUAUAUAAAUACGUGACCAAAAAAAAUAAAUUUAAGUGUUGACGAAGUUUUAUAUUAUUUUAUAAACAGAUUG
rnacentral:lncRNA from 1 species